AGGAGAAAAUGAAAGAAAUAAAGAAAAAAGAAAAAAAAAUAAGAAACCAAAAAAAAAAAAGGAAGACAAGUUCAUCAUCAUCAUCUGAGAUUGAAACAACUGAAAGUGAUGUCCAUUUUACCUCUGAGUCUGAGACUGAAGAAGGCUCAGAGGAUUCAACAAGGAAACAACCCACUCGAAAAGCCAAAAAGUAAGUAACAUACUUGGAUGUAUUUUGUUUAUCCAGUUGGAUGUAUUUUGUUUAUCUAGUUGGGUGUAUUUUAUUUAUCCAGUUGGGUGUAUUUUGUGCAUUCAUUUGGGUGUAUUUUAUGAAUUCAUUAGGUGUAUUUGGUGCAUUAAUUUGGGUGUAUUUUGUCCCUUUUAGUAUGUUUAUAAAUAAUGAUUGUUUGCCUUCCAUAAUGGAGUCCAAAAAAAGAAAGAAGAUUCAGGAGGAUUCUGAUUCAGAAUCUGAAUCAAAUGAUGAGUAAUGUUCUGAAAUUAUUACUGCUUUCUUUUGGGUUUAUUAUCAAGAUUUCAUGUAUUAACAGAGCGUCUCUUAUUAACUUAUAGAAGCGAAGAAUCAUCACUAGUAGAGAAGCAAAAAACAAAGAAAAAGACUCAGAGAACACCACAAAAGACACAAUCCAAAAAGAAAAAGGUCAUUGUUGAGGAUUCAUCUCCUGAGCAAGCUCAAUCCUAUCAUGGAUCUGAAAUUAGAACUGAAGAAUUAAAUGAAUUCUUAAGGGAAAACAAUGAAAAAUCUGCUGCACAUGGG